rnacentral:rRNA from 1 species
CAGUCGCCGCGGUAAUACGUAGGCGGCAAGCGUUGUCCGGAAUUAUUGGGCGUAAAGGGAGCGCAGACGGACAUAUAAGUCCAUCUUAAAAGUGCGGGGCUCAACCCCGUGAGGGGAUGGAAACUGUAUGCCUUGAGUGCAGGAGAGGAAAGCGGAAUUCCCAGUGUAGCGGUGAAAUGCGUAGAUAUUGGGAGGAACACCAGUGGCGAGGGCGGCUUUCUGGACUGUAACUGACGCUGAGGCUCGAAAGCCAGGGGAGCGAACGGGAUUAGAUACCCCCGUAGUCCCUGUCUCUUAUACA